rnacentral:sRNA from 1 species
GGGCCUUCUCUGCAGAGGGGCCCUGGCCACCACAGGCCAGUCUGGAGGUCCCCAGCUUUGGGGGCUGGCCACAGUCCAGACGCCCCUCCCUCGCCUCCCCCAUACCCACUUCUACCCUCUCUGUCUGGUUCUAGGUGACCCAGGGCCUGGUCAUCGGGCAGCUGAGCAGCCACUUCUCGGAGGAGGCGCUGCUCCGGGCCAGCGUGCUGGUCUUCAUCGUGGUGGGCCUGGCCAUGGCCUGGAUGUCCAGCGUCUUCCACUUCUGCCUCCUGGUGCCCGGCCUGGUGUUCAGCCUCUGCACCCUCAACGUGGUCACCGACAGCAUGCUGACCAAGGCUGUCUCCACCUCGGACACAGGGACCAUGCUGGGCCUCUGCGCCUCUGUACAACCACUGCUCCGAACUCUGGGACCCACGGUCGGCGGCCUCCUGUACCGCAGCUUUGGCGUCCCCGUCUUCGGCCACGUGCAGGUUGCUAUCAAUACCCUUGUCCUCCUGGUCCUCUGGAGGAAACCUAUGCCCCAGAGGAAGGACAAAGUCCGGUGACCGCUGCCCAGACACAGACUGGCAAUAAACUCCUACUAAAUCC